UCAUCAUGGACAUGAGGGCCACUGCUCAGUUCUUUGGGCUCCUGUUGCUUUUGUUUCAAGGUAUCAGAUAUGACAUCCAAAUGACCCAGUCUUCAUCCUCCCUAUCUGCCUCUCUGGGAGACAGAGUCUCUAUCAGUUGCAGGGCAAGUGAGGGCAUUAACAAUUAUUUAAACUGGUAUCAGCAGAAACCAGAUGGAACUGUUAAACUCUUGAUCUACGCCACAUCAAACUUACUCUCAGGAAUCCCAUCAAGGUUCAGUGGCAGUGGGUCUGGGACAGAUUAUACUCUCACAAUCAGCAGCCUGGAGUCUGAUGAUAUUGCCACUUAUUAUUGUGAACAGUAUAAACAGCAUCCUCCCACAAUGAUACCAGUCAUAACAAAAACCUCUGUGGAAAUAGAAGUGUGUGGCUUGGCUGCCCCAGAUGUUCCUCAUGAUCCCGGUGGCUGGAGCAGUCACACAGCUGAUCUGCUCUCCUGUGGAAACUGCAUCUGGAGGUAUCCUAGAGAGAGUCGCAAACCACAGAGCUACAGGUAG